rnacentral:lncRNA from 1 species
AUGGGGGUGUCAGGGCGCGAGCAGGCUCGCUCUUCACCCUUGAGGGAGAGGAGCGCAUUCGUGCGGCCUGGUACGACGCGCAUUUGUGGGGACACCGGGUGUGCAGAGAGGAGUGUUAAAGCAUUAUUUCGAGCUGUGCAGCUUAAACUCUGGUCAACGGGGGAGCAGAGAAGUCAAAGGCAUCGCUGUAGCAAGCAAGUUCUAAACCUCAAUCAUGUCAUUGAUCCACCCUCAAAUGCCCUUUCCUGCGAGUUCCUCGUGGCAAGGCCUGGUCUGCGGGAGAUGGACAGAAUAACGGGGUGUUGUGCUCUCCUCCUGGUUCCUGCUUGGGCAGUGCACAUUUGGACAGGCAAUCACACCAGGGUAUUAUGA